rnacentral:tRNA from 13 species
CGAAAUCGGUAGACGCUACGGACUUAAAAUCCGUCGACUUUAGAAAUCGUGAGGGUUCAAGUCCCUCUAUCCCCA